rnacentral:rRNA from 1 species
AUGGAACUACCUCUAAUGGACGGCUUCGAUCUUCCCACCACCUCCGGCCCGUCUGCUACAAUCGCCGGCGGCGACGACCGGCCUCCGAAGAUCACCAGGGACGGCGGCUUGGAGGAUGUGGACACGGGUCCUCUUCCUGACAGGUGCGAGGCGCUGGCUGCGGCCAUCGCAGGGGUGCUAGGCGGCGCGCUUGAGGAGCAUGAGGCGCGCGCCGCGGCCACCGCCCAGAGCCAGGCCGAGCUCGCCACCGCCAUUGACCGCCUCAACGGAGAACUAGACAGGCUAUUGGAGAAUGCACCCUCCCCGGUAAUAGCACAACAUGCAGCAAGGAUUUCUUCUAUCCGCAAGAGAGUGUUAGCGCUAAACAUGCUACUGAGGUCCAUACAAAGACGUAUAGAUAAUAUGGAUAGAAUGAUUUCUACUGGUGUUACAAGUGAUCAUUCAUCUCGUGUGCAGUUGCAAAACCAGAAUUAA